CUGAUCUUGAUAGGAUUGGUCCUUAUAGGAAGAGACACCAGAGACCUUGCUCUUUCUCUGCCAUAUGAGGACAAGUGAGAAGACAGCCGUCAGCAAGCCGGGAAGAGCACUCUCACGCGAAACCCAUCCUGCUGGACCUUGAUCCUGGACUUCUAGCCUCCAGAACAGAGAAAAUAAGUUUCUGCUGCUCACAGCACCAGUCUGCAGCCUGAGCUGAAGUUCUGCACCUGACAAAAGAAGUUGCUGAACAGAUGAGGGAAGGAGAGGAGAGAUUAAGCAAAUUCCACCUAAUUCUAGGCACGUGCUUGUGAUAUAAGGUAUCAUGCCUCUUGGUGUAUUAUUCUUCGAUCAAGAUUGCCUAACUUCAAAUGAAGAACUCCACUUCAGAGCUCUGCUUAUAUAUAAGACUAUUACCUGAGGAAUUAUUACUAGGCUGAUUUUCAGUUAUGUGUCCUGGUAUUAAUAAAUCCUUGUUAUUUCCCAUGGAAUAGAGUGUUUUUGUUACUAGUGCCUGGUUUUUAGACAUCUACACUUGCAUUUGUGAUAGUGAAAG